rnacentral:rRNA from 1 species
AAUCAACGCUGGCGGCGUGCCUAACACAUGCAAGUCGAACGCGAAAGGGGCUUCGGCCCUGAGUAGAGUGGCGAACGGGUGAGUAACGCGUGGGUGACCUACCUUCGAGUGGGGGAUAACGUUCCGAAAGGAACGCUAAUACCGCAUGAAGUUCUGGAUUUGAACAUCUGGAAACCAAAGCCGGGGAUCGCAAGACCUGGCGCUUGGAGAGGGGCCCGCGUCCGAUUAGCUAGUUGGCGGGGUAAUGGCCCACCAAGGCGACGAUCAGUAGCCGGCCUGAGAGGGCGGACGGCCACACUGGGACUGAGACACGGCCCAGACUCCUACGGGAGGCAGCAGUGGGGAAUUGUUCGCAAUGGGCGCAAGCCUGACGACGCAACGCCGCGUGGGGGAUGAAGGUCUUCGGAUUGUAAACCCCUGUCGAGCGGGACGAAUGGCCCGCGACCUAAUACGUCGUGGGAGUGACGGUACCGCUAAAGGAAGCCACGGCUAACUCUGUGCCAGCAGCCGCGGUAAUACAGAGGUGGCAAGCGUUGUUCGGAAUUACUGGGCGUAAAGGGCGCGUAGGCGGCCCUCUAAGUCAAACGUGAAAUCCCCCGGCUUAACCUGGGAACUGCGUCUGAUACUGGAG